UACGGAGGGAGCUAGCGUUGUUCGGAAUUACUGGGCGUAAAGCGCACGUAGGCGGCUUUUUAAGUCAGGGGUGAAAUCCCGGGGCUCAACCCCGGAACUGCCCUUGAAACUGGAGAGCUAGAAUCUUGGAGAGGCGAGUGGAAUUCCGAGUGUAGAGGUGAAAUUCGUAGAUAUUGGGAAGAACACCGGUGGCGAAGGCGGCUCACUGGCUCGUAACUGACGCUCAUGCACGACAGCGUGGGGAUCAAACAGG
rnacentral:rRNA from 1 species